UUAUUAUACGAGCAUAUAAAGUGUGCGAUUAUGACACGAGGUGAAGUUUGCAACACGAGCCGAAGGCGAGUGUUGUAAUUUUUCCGAGUGUCAUAAUCGCCUUUAUAUGCAAGUAAAAUACGCUAUUUUAUCUACGACUAUUUAUUUAAAUAGAAAAUGCGGCAUCUGAAUCAGUUUGAAACGUAGCAACUUCAUAGCGGUAGCGCAAUGUACGCCUAUGGUUUGGUUUGCGUUCGUUCAUUCGUUGACGGUAUUUAACCUCAAAUCUAAUUCAAUGUAUCGCAAUGUACCUAAGUGGCGAACUAAAUAUGCAAUUUAUCUAAAGUUCCCAGAAGUCAUUAAUUCAACACGUAAUUACCUACACAUUGUGACAUAACCUAUGGGAGUAAGGUGGAUAUUUAUGUGAUGUACCUAUGUACAACUAUUCUCUAAAUCCGAUCCCGAUGUAUCAAUUAUGCCUGCAGAAAUUGUUACACAGCUGCCAAAUGGAAUACAAUAUUUUGUUUCGCAUACAUAAUCUAAUUUUUCAAAGACUUCGUUACGCUUCUCCGACCUGCAUCCAAGAAGUUUCUUCCUCUUUUAGAAACGAAGUUUAAGCAAUGAAAGCAUAGUUUUAUUGCAAAUUUAAGGGCAAGAGGUGUUUUUUAUUAGUUAACGUACAUAUUGUAGCCAUCUAUUUAAGUAAUUUGGUCAAUGCCUAGUAUGUAAGACCUGUUACGAAUUAUCAAUUCUUAAAAUAAAUCAUGCAAAACGGUGGUUAAGUGCUA